UAUUUAAAUGCGCAACGAGCUCCUGUAAUGAAACACCAAAGAAUCGUACGUUCGAUUGAGAUUCCAAGUAUGAUUGUGCGACGAUCAAACACCUCGAAUCUACUGAACGUCACUUAAUUCUCAUUUUUGAUUGGUUGGCAAACGCACAAGAUGGCGACCUAUUCGAAUUGCCUUUUUAACAAUCAAGCAAGAUCAGGUGCUAUUAGCGAAAAAAUGUAUGCUCAUUACGUAUCAUUCCUCGUAUGAGAAAGUUCAUAUAGGAAAAUCAAAUAAAAAUUAUUUCUUAAUUUUUUCGUCACUCUCCGUGAUACCGAUCACGAAUGUGGGCCACAUUUAUUAUCGAAAAGGCGCGCCUUGAUACAGAUGCCUUUAAGAAUUUGGCGCCGCGCAAAAUCCGACUCUGUUCGUCGAAUAAUCCAAAAUAACCAUGACGAGACCUUGUAGCCGCGCAAGUAUUGAUCGGUGGUGGUGAUUUGACGAGCGAUAACCGCGCCCACCCUUUCAUCCUACUAUCCCUAUGAAUAACACACCUUUCGUAAAUGUUGCCGCGCAAAAAAACGAGCCAAUGCUGUGCCUCUUUCAAAAUUUGGCGCGCAAAUUGGCAGGGAUUAAAAGAUUCAUUUUAUUGAUAGAUUUUAAUUAAUCUCAUUAGGGCAUGUAUAGUCUGAAAGACAACAAAAAAGAAAAGAUAUACACUUACUGAAACGAAAACUGAAAUGUCCCAUUUCCAAUGCACAAAUUUCGAGGUAAUGAAAAAAUUAUUAACGACAUCUUCGUUUUACAUCGUGAAUUCAGGACAAUUGACGAUUGAUAAGAAAAUUAAUGCGCGAAAAAAUCAUAUAGCGAUCAUUUUAUAUUUGUUUUGUAUUGAAAAACGAAGGAGUCGUAUCUAGGGACAGGAAGCAGAUAUUGAGUGAAUAUCGCGUUAAUAUAUUUCUAAAGCAUCUCCUUCGUAGUUCGAUAAGUGAUAUCGAAUUUAAACCACCAAUUGAUGGCUUGCCGCAAAACGAAAGACAUUUUUUCUCACAACCCCCUGUUCUCAUCCCCAGGGCGGCAUAUAUUUCCAUAGUUCUAUUUUAUCAAAUUCAACGCAUACUCCCUUUUUAUAUUUUUUUAACAUUUAAAUGAUCCUAAUUGGAUGAAUAGACGAAAUUAUAUGUAAAGAGAGAGAGAGAGAGAGAAAAAGAAAAAAAUAAGAGAAAGAGAGAAAAAGAGAUAAACCUAACCAAAGAAAGAAUGUCAUUUUUAUUGGCAACUUCGCAUCUCGGCGGCUACCUGACGAACGGAAAGGAACAGGAAGAUUUUCUGUAUUCGGAUGGAGAGGAUGGAGAAAAUUACGAUUUCAAGUACAUAUCUGGAAAUCAAUUCAAGUACAUAAUAAAAGACGUCCAAAGACGAAGAUGUAGAGACGAGGAGGAACGCGCAUGGCGUAGAUUUGUAAAAGAAGAAGAAUUAAACAGUAAUAUAAGCACUAACGAGUAUGGCAGGGAAGAUAGAGAAUUAAGAAGAUUGGAGGAAGAUGCACUUCCCGAAUAUAAAUUAGGAUCUUAUAUGGAAGGCAGUAAAAGGAAUGAUCAUAAGUCGAUUUAUCCGACAGAAGAACAUGGAGAGGAAAAUUUUACAAAUAGGAUAACAAAAACAGAAAGCAGUGAUACCAUUACUAUCGACAUGGAUCGGUCAAUCUUAAGAAAAGACGUGUUGCCAUAUAAGAGACUUGUAAGAUCUAAACGAUCAUCGGAUCUGAGAAGAACUUCCUCCGACAUUGUACAAAGCAAACAUUGCACAAAACAAAACGUGAUAUGCAAUUAUGAAUGCAAUUCUACUCCAGAAUUGAGCAUAGAUUAUGAAAGCGAUAAAGAAGAUAAUAUUUCUGUGCAACCAGAUCCGGUGACUGCGCAUAGAAUUGCAAUAAUGCAGCAAAGGAUUUCUGAAUUGUUAGAUGAAAUCUCGUUCAGAUUAGACAGAAUUCCACUGCCCGAUGGCGACAUAGAUUUGAAAAGAAGGCAACAACGAAUUAUGGAAUUUUGUAUAAGACUAUCGAGAAAUUAUUUAUACGAUCUUAACAGAUAUGUCAGUGACAUACAGAAACAUAUGCGCGCCAUUUCACCAUCUGCAAAGAUAAAAUCUGGUCGUAGAGGCAUUACGUUUCACAUGCAGAUUAUUGAACAAAAAUUGAUAUCUUCUCAUCAGUUGUUAUUGCAUGGAUUAACUGCUUAUUGUAGACAUAUUCCUUGUUCAAUUCCGCAAGGACAUCCUAAAAAGAUCAAAGAACUAUUGAAGGUAGUGACCGAUUUGAAAGAUAUCUGUGAUCAUAUUCAAUUGACCAGAAAUUAUUUUGGCUCUGGAGAUACCUGUACGGUACCACUGGAAAAAGAGACACAGGCCAAGUGUAACGCUAUUUUGUCCAAGUUGAAACUAAGUUCAGGAACUGAAUCGCAAUUGGAUGAUUACAAUAUAGUUUCAAAUGUAAUUAUACCAUCAAAUGUACCGCGGACGAAAAAUCGUUUUAAACGUAAGAAUUUGGAAGCUCGAUUGAGAAUGUACAAUAAUGUAGAAACUAAAACUUACAAGAGCAAUUUUAAAGGGAAAUCCUCAGCAUGUCAUAUAAAGGAUAAAAAAAUUAAUACGCGUUAUAAUAAAAUUAUUUAUAACGAACAUUUGUCUGUACCGCAACAACCAAAUUCUAGUCCAAUUACAAAUGCAUUUUCUAAAGAGAUUAUCCAAGAAGACGACGCAAAAUAUAAAAUAUCCUUGAAGGAAGAUGAUAUCAAGACAAUAAUGGGUACAGUCCCGGUAGAUUCUGACGAUGAUACCAACUUGGAAAUACAAUCCAAGCGUGCUGAUAGAUUAGUUUUAUCGAAAAAGGCAAAGAUCAUGAAAGACUCGCCUAAUAAAUCGUCGUAUAAUAUAAAAUUUUGUAAAGGCGAGGUGAGACAUGAUAAAAGAAAAAGUAAUCGUACAAAUCUUUAUAACGAUUCAAUGAAUAAGAAAAAUUAUACAGCAACUUCCGACGAAGUAUUGUUUGAAUUUCUUCCAAAGUAUCAAUCUUUUCAAGAUUAUAAUGAUAAAGAUAUUUCAAAUGUUGAUUUCACAAGUCGUAUACCUAAAAAACAUUCAUUAUCAAAGAGCAGAGGAGAAAUCAGUAAGGAUAGAAGAAACAUGGACUUGAUUUGCCUUUCAUCUUUGGAUAAUAUAUCCAACGAGCAUACAUGUUGUAAUGCUAUCAGUCACUUGGACAAUCAUAAAAGUUGGGCAAAAAAAAUAUUUUACAGCAGAAUAGUUUCAUCCAAUUAAAUAUCUCUAAAGAAACUGAAGCCAAAUUUUUGAGAUAUAGAAUCGAAUACUAUCAUUUAUUUAAAUGUAACCCGAUGUAUUCUAACGAUACACAAAAUAAGCCAUGGAAUAUUGUGGCAUGGAUUUCAGAUAAACUUGUGGAUGAAUUAAUCAAUGAAAUCGCAAAGGAACUGGAAAUGCAAGAUGUAAUCCAAAAAAUGUAUCAACUAGAAUUUAAAGAAUUUUAAUACACACACAUACACACGCUCACGCACAUAUAUAUUUACGGAUGAUAACAAAAAAGAAUCAUAUUUAUUUGAAAAGCACAAAAAUUUGGAAUGUUUUUACACGUACGUUGCUUUUAUAAAUAAAACGUUGAUAUUUUAAAUAGUA